rnacentral:tRNA from 1 species
GACAACGUGGCCGAGUGGUCAAACGUAUGACUCGAAAUCAUUUCUCAUUUGAGGUGUAGGUUCAAAUCCUGCAGUUGUCG